UACGGGGGGAGCAAGCGUUGUUCGGAUUUACUGGGCGUAAAGGGCGCGUAGGCGGUCAGCACAAGUCAGUUGUGAAAUCUCCGGGCUUAACUCGGAAAGGUCAACUGAUACUGUGCGACUAGGGUGCAGAAGGGGCAACUGGAAUUCUCGGUGUAGCGGUGAAAUGCGUAGAUAUCGAGAGGAACACCUGCGGCGAAGGCGGGUUGCUGGGCUGACACUGACGCUGAGGCGCGAAAGCCAGGGGAGCGAACGGG
rnacentral:rRNA from 1 species